rnacentral:rRNA from 1 species
UAGAGUUUGAUCCUGGCUCAGGAUGAACGCUGGCGGCGUGCCUAACACAUGCAAGUCGAACGGGGAUCUAGAGGAAAAGGUACUUGUACCUCGGAAUUUAGAUUCUAGUGGCGGACGGGUGAGUAACACGUGAGCAACCUGCCUUGAUCAGGGGGAUAACAACGGGAAACCGUUACUAAUGCCGCAUAAUAUGCCGUUGGGGCAUCCCAGUGGCAUCAAAGGAGUAAUCCGGAUUGAGAUGGGCUCGCGUCCGAUUAGUUAGUUGGUGAGGUACGGCUCACCAAGACCGCGAUCNGUA